GCACAAGCCCAAGGGAUACAAUUUCCGAUGGCCCCCCCACCUCCACCUUCCAUACAUUUUCCUUGGCCUUCACCUCCACCUCCACCUACCGAACAUCAGGUAUAUGAGACUCCUCCAGCUACCUUGCCGGCGCAGCAACAAGAUGAUGGGUUAGACUUUGUCAAUACGCUCUUCGCGAGUGGAGGUAGCGAGCAUCACUCUUCGAUAUUUCCUGAUGUUGAUCUACAGUAGUGGGCUUCCAUUCGAUGUGUUUUGUGAGACUUCAAACUUGUGUCUUGUGAGACUUGUGAAUUCUUAUGUCGAGGUGGAUUUGACUUGUGAGACUUGUGUCUUGUGAGACUUGUGAAUUCUUAUGUUAUUAUUAUGUAUGUGA